rfam:Cicer arietinum chromosome Ca3, whole genome shotgun sequence.
UGAAUCUUUCAAACUAUUGAGUACUUAAACUUUGAUUUGAGUGCUGUGAAUUUUUUUAUUUGAAUAGGAAGAUCUGAUGC